rnacentral:rRNA from 1 species
GGGCCCUACGGGGGCGCAGCAGGGCGCGAAACCUUUACACUGCACGACAGUGCGAUAAGGGGACUCCGAGUGCGAGGGCAUAUCGUCCUCGCUUUUCUGAACCGUAAGGUGGUUCAGGAACAAGGGCUGGGCAAGACCGGCGCCAGCCGCCGCGGUAAUACCGGCAGCCCAAGUGAUGACCGCUGUUAUUGGGCCUAAAGCGUCCGUAGCUGGCCGUGCAAGUCCAUCGGGAAAUCCGCAUGCUUAACAUGCGGGCGUCCGGUGGAAACUGUUCGGCUUGGGACCGGAAGACCAGAGGGGUACGUCCGGGGUAGGAGUGAAAUCCCGUAAUCCUGGACGGACCACCGGUGGCGAAAGCGCCUCUGGAAGACGGAUCCGACGGUGAGGGACGAAAGCUCGGGUCACGAACCGGAUUAGAUACCCGGGUAGUCCGAGCUGUAAACGAUGUCUGCUAGGUGUGACACAGGCUACGAGCCUGUGUUGUGCCGUAGGGAAGCCGUGAAGCAGACCGCCUGGGAAGUACGUCCGCAAGGAUAAACUAA